AUUGAACGCUGGCGGCAGGCUUAACACAUGCAAGUCGAACGAGUGGCGGACGGGUGAGUAAUGCUUGGGAAUCUAGCUUAUGGAGGGGGAUAACUACUGGAAACUGUAGCUAAUACCGCGUACCAUAGGAUGAGCCCAAGUGAGAUUAGGUAGUUGGUGAGGUAAAGGCUCACCAAGCCGACUAUCUCUAGCUGGUCUGAGAGGAUGACCAGCCAAAGUUGAAAUUAGACACGGCCCAGACGCAGACGUGAGGCAGCAGUGGGGAAUAUUGCGCAAUGGGGGCAACCUGACGCAGCCAUGCCGCGUGGAGGAAGAAGGCCUUCGGGUUGUAAAGUUCUUUCGGUAGCGAGGCGUUAACUACAGAAGAAGCACCGGCUAACUCCGUGCCAGCAGCCGCGGUAAUAC
rnacentral:rRNA from 1 species